CAUUUCUGUUAAAUUUAGUUGUAGAAUAUGGAAGAAAUCUAAAAGUUGAUGACUGAACAAGAGCGCUGUCCAUUCUGACUCAAAAUAUAUUCUUUUAGACCGACCUUUCAAAGAUGGUCUCAAUAUUGGAAAAGCACUAUGGUCUCGUCUAGACUAGUAAAAUGAUGUUGUGUUUGAACUGUUGAUUCGAUGUCAAGUACCCAUGGGUUUGCAUAUGAGCUCAGACACUUGCUGCUAGAGUGAUUUUGGACACAUUUUAAUGACCUCUGAGCCUCAGUCUUCUCAUCUAUAAAAUGGUGACUACAAUAUUGUAGCAAACCUUAUGGAGUUAUUGUGAAAACCAAAUGAGAUUAUUUAUUGAUUCAGCCAAUAUUUACUGAGGACCUACUAUGCACAAGGCAUGCUACUCAGAGCUGGAGAUACACAGUGAGGAAAACAGACCCAGCCCUGCCUUCAUGGAGCAUACUGCCUAAUGCUGUAUGUCAUUAAUAGAAGAAGUGCUCGUUAACUGUUAGCUGUUAUUAGCAGUCGAAAUCAGUUUGCUCUUCCUCAAAUUGGAGUAUGUUUUUGUGUCGAAUGGAGGGGAGAUUCCCAGCCAUUAGACUUGGAAAUUUUAAUUGGUAGGACUUCAGAUGUUGUGCUGCAAAGGUGUCCUUUGGUGGCACCUGCUGGUCUUCGGUUUUCGAUGGAAAUUCCAGUCAGGAAGAAGGGGUAGCUGCCAUAGAGUUUGCUCUGUCAGGGCUAGUCCCAGUCCCACCCGUGAGGUGGAAGCAACAAAGGGCAAACAAAUAAGGAUUCUUGGAAUAACACCAUCAUUUGACAUCAGACAGACCACAGUGGCAGAUUUUUCACAUGCCACCAGGUAAUUUCCACUCGCCACAUUCGUGCCUGUAAUCAUCAAGUCUAGCAGUUGCUUCUUUCACACUAAUCAUCAGCCUUGUAAUCAAACUCAGAAGUGAAUUAUUUUACUAGAAAAGAUUCUACUGGGCUAAAGAACUUAGCACUGCACUUUUAUGCUCAGCCAUUAUAAAGUUCACUUAGAGUUAUUGAGACCGUUUUUAAGAAUUCCCUAUAGACAUGCAGUCAGGAUCCAAUGAGAAUUUAUGUAGUUCAUUCCUCAAGGUCUGUAUUGUAUAGUUCUUGUGUACUUUGCUGCUUUGGUACGGAAUCUACUAUGAGAGUGGCUAGACUUGCCAUCUAAAUGGAUUUGCUCCAUUGAUCACAGCAUAACUCUAGAGCUAAUGGACCAGGAGUCUGGGAAGGGCAGGCACUGAAAAGUUGGGUGCUUAUGUGAAGUGGUGGUUCUAAUGCAUCAACUCCACAAAUGAAAGAGCUUCUAGAAGAAAACACUCUAUUAUGUGCUGACAGAGCUCUCUGCUCCUGUGCCAAUCCUUACUUUGUCCGUAUACAUUUACAGAAUAUGUGUUAUCGUGGCAAAGCAUCUUUAAAGGUAUAGGCUGAUGAUGUUUGCAAAACAUACUGGCUUUCUGUGUGACCUUGGACCAUCCAUUAGCCUCUCUGGGAGUGUCCCUGGUAGACAUUCUCAUGUGAAAAAGGUGAAAUGAGGAAUUGCGUAUGGAUGGGCAGCCCUGACCCUGAGAUCAAAGCUGUGGGAUCAUAACCCUACCUGGUAGUGUGACCUGAAGUAAGUUACCUAGCUUCUCUAGGGUUCAAUUCCCUCCUUUCAUAACUGCAGUAUUUUAAUGAGUAGUAUCAAGUGAGAAAUGGCUGUGUAAACCAUGGCAAACCAGUCAAAUGUCAGUCAUUUUGCUAAUGCUUUCUAUGAUCUCUUCUAGUCUAAGAGGGUGUAGGUGGGGGGGGAUUCAGUGACAGAAAUCUGCCCACUGCCGGAUGGGUUAGGGUGCUAGCUCUAGAGUCAGAGUAACUGGCUCUACUCCUUUCAAGUUGUGUGACAUUAGGCAACUUAACCCUUCUUAGCCUCAGUUUCCUUAUCUGUAGAAUGGGGCUUUAAAUAGAACCCUAUUUAAACCCCAUAGGUUUGAAUGAGGUUUGAAUGAGACUGCUUGCUAAGUCCUGGCACAGCAUCUGACACAUGGCAAGACUUGGUGAUAAUUCUUAGCCACUUCUCAUUAUUACUCUCCCCAUCAUUGAUCCUUGACUAAUAAAGGUUAAAUUUCCCCUUUUUCAUUUAGGGUUUUGGGGUGGUUCUUUUUUUUGUGGGGGGAGUGAUUUUAUUUUUAACUGUGGUAGAAUACAUCGAACAAAGUUUAUCAUUUUAACCAUUUUUAAGCACACCAUUCAGUAGUCAAAUACUUUUGCGUUGGUGUGCAACCAUCACCACCAUUCAUCUUGCAAAACUGAAACUCUGUACCCAUUAAACAAUAACUCCCCACUCCCCAUUCCCCCAGCCCCUGGCAACCACCCUUCUACUUUCUGUCUCUGAGUUUUUGACUAUUCCUCAUAUCGGUAUUUGUGCCCUCCUGUGACCGGCUUAUUUCACGUAGCAUAAUACCCUCAGAGUUCACCCAUGUUGGAUCAUCUGUUCAAAUUUCCUUGGUUUUCAAGGCUGAAUAAUGCUCCAAUUUAUGUAUGCCAUGUUUUGUUUAUCCACUCAUCUGUCUGUGAACACUUGGGUUGCUUUCACCUUUCGGCUUUUGUGCAUAAUGCUGCUAUGAACGUGGUACGCAAAUAACUCAUGUUAGUUUUAAUUCAACUAAAGAUCGCGCUUCAUUAUGUAUAACUGUGUGACAGCAGUGACUUGCAAAAUAUAUGUAGACUCAAGACCCAUAAUGUUAAACUCUCACGAAGGAGGUACCCUAAUGCCAUGGCUGCACUGGAAUGUGGGAAGCAAAGCCAAGGUGUUGAACUGUGGGAGCAGGGCAUGCCUGGAAACAGUGCUCUUAGCCCCCUUGCCUGGUCAAGCCUGGUCUGUGGGCUACAUUGGAUGAAAUUUCAAUUAAUAGCUGGUUCCUCUAAACAUUGUUUUAAAUUCUUCUAAUCACUUUCUGUCAUAAGAAUGGUCUCAUUCUAAUAAAAAAUGUGGGUGUAGUCUUAUAUGAAAUAACUCCAAAUCUCAUUCCAGUUUAAGUCUCUCCAAUCUUGGGCCUGCAUUUGGCUGAUAAGGAGAAGGGAACGGUAGCUUUUUCUCUGUCCCCCGUUAACGUGCACUUAGUCUGCCUCUGGCCCCUCUAGGGUUGAAGCUUGGACAUUCGAUGGUACCCGUCCAGCCUCUUCCAGCAGAGGACCCGCACUCUUGGCAGAAACCCUCUGGGCAGUAUCCCUUUGAGAAAGUCCUACUGCUAAUUCAGUACCUGAUCUCCAGGCACCACAGACCUUUGACCUGUGACCUUACCAUUGGUGAGAGUGCAGUUACAACUCUCACCUGAGUCUCUGCUCCACUGCAGGGGCUGUUUCUCUUCAGCCUGCAGACUUGUAGUCAUCUCCAACCCACCACUGUGCCCCUGCCUUAGAGGAACCUCCAGUUGUGCAUUUAGAGCCUUACUCGUUAGCUCCAUAUCCUUUCCACUGGGAUGUGGGCAGUGGGAUUCUGCACAUUGAUAACUUGCUUUGAAGAAAUCCUUUCCUGGCUUCUAACUUGAUCAACGCUUUGAAAACUCAAGGUAGCUGUUGGGCUCAAGGAUACAGAAUCUAUUUUCAAAUAAUGUCUUUGCAAAUGCUGCUAGGUUUAGCUUCACCCUUUAGCAUGAGAACAAUUGACACUGUUUUGGGGCUUCAGACAAAAGUGAAACCAAAAGAGCCCCAUUUUAACAUCCUCCCACAGAAGUUAAAUGCAGUAGACAUAGGUUUAUCUGAAGUCUGUGAGAGAAUUUAUGUCCUCAGAAAAGUCAUUGUUUAUAGGAGUCUGUGCCUCUUAAGAUAUAAAAAGCCCAAAUCCAAAAGAAGAUUGAUAAUUUGGGUUACGUUAAAAGAUAAAUUCUGUAUGAUAAAAGAUACAGGAUUUCAAAAACAAGUGACGGACUAGGAGAAACCUUUGUAGAGGUAACAGACAAAUGACUAACAUUUGGAAUGUAUAUAAACCACCAAGAAUUAUGGAUUGAUUUUUUAAGACAAGUAAGCCAAUAGAAAAAUGGGCAAAGGAUUUGAAAGGGUAAUUUACAGAAAAAGAGCACCCUGACAGAAUUUCUGGGUCAAACUGAAAAUGUGCAAACAAUCUAGCAACUUCAGUUCUAUGUCAUACCUUGGAAAAGAAGUAACUGAAGAUUUAUUUAAGUCCUUUGAAAUAAUUGACUUCAGUACACAUGUAUUGAGCUUCUGCUGUUAUGUCAAGUAAUAUACGGUGGGAGCUGGGAAUCAGAGAUACAGGACAUGUUUCUUAGCCUCCAGUCAUUUAUAAGGUGGUGUGAGGGAUAAGCCCAUAAACAGAACCUCAGUGGUAAGUGCAAUGCACUUAUGAGAUUAAGUAUCCUACUGAUUAACGAAGAACCUUAAGAGAUGAUAGGCAUCUCUUAGAUAGAAUUUUCCCGAUACUAUGGGUUUUGUGAGAUAUAUUUAGUCUAAUUUUUUGUUCUAUCCUAACACACACGGGGAAGGAAUUAUUUUGUCUACUCUGCAAUAAUUAUUCCAAGAUAAUGGGAUCAAUAUUCCGUUUAGACUAAAAAUAGAGUGAAAUUUAUUUAAUUACAGUUGACCCUUGAACAGUUUGAUGGUUGGGGCACUGAUCCCCAUCCUGUGUAGUUGAAAAUCCCCAUAUAACUUUUGACUCCCCCACAACUUAACUACUAAUAGUCUACAGUUGAUUAGAGCCCAAUCAAUGACAUAAACAGUCAGUUAACACAUAUUUUGUAUGUUAUGUAUAUUAUAUACCGUAACCUUAAGAUAAAGCAAGCUAGAUAAAAGAAAAUAAUAUCUUUUUUUUAAAGAUUGUGGUGGUAGAGGGAGAGAGAGAAUCUCAAGCAGACUCCCCAGUGAGCGCAGAGCCGGACGUGGGGCUCCAUCCCAGGACCCUGAGAUCAUGACCCGAGCCAAAAUCAAAAAGAGUCAGCUACUGAACCUACUGAGCCACCCAGGAACCCCAAGAGAAUAUAGUAUUAAGAAAAUCAUAAGGAAAAGAAAAUACAUUUACAGUACUAUACUGUAUUUAUCAAAAAGAAAAUCUGAGGGCGCCUGGGUGCCUCAAUCGGCUAAGCGUCUGCCUUCAGCUCAGGUCAUGAUCCCAGAGUCCAGAGAAUGAGCACCGCAUCAGGCUCCCUGCUGAGCAGGGAGCCUGCUUCUCCCUCUCCUCCGUACUGUGCUGUCUCGCUCUCUCUGUCUCUCUCUCUCUCUCUCUAAUAGAUAAAUAAAUCUUAAAAAUAUAUACACACACACACAUGUAUAUAUAAAAAAAGAAAAUUUGUAUAUAAGUGGACCUAUCCAGUUCAUACCCAUGUUGUUCAGUUAACUGUAAUUGCACAAAUUUGUCAGUCUAGACCAAAAUAGCCCCUGAGAAUUUGGGGGUAAAAUGCUGUGGUCCCCGUGAUAGCUAUUUCUAUUCCUCCUUUAGCCAACAGUCCUCAUGGGAGUCCACUUAACCUCCAUUCACUGCUGUAAAAGCAAACAUUUCUUUGGCAUCAAAUCCUAAUCAUGUGUUAUUUUUUAAAAAAUAAGAAGAAAGAAAAGGAAAACAACAUUGAGUUUCUAGGCUUUAAUAAAUUAUCUCAUUUUUAAACUAUUUGUAAGGAUUUCAAACUUACACAUGAUCCUUGGUUUUUUAAAUUUGCUUUCUGUUUUCUUAAUUUGGUUUGGAUUCCCAUUUCGAAUGAAUACCUUUCCUUCACUCUGGAAUUCAGCAUACACUUGUACGCAUUUAAGCUAGGAGUUCUUAACUGGUAGCUACCAGCCACCCCUCCCAUGAUUAAAUACAGAAUUCUAUACGUACCUAUAUAGUUGGUUGGUUGUGUUUUUUUUCUUUUUUAACAAGAGAAGGGCUCCAUGACUCUCGUUAGAUUUUUCAAAAGGGUCCAUGAUCCAAAAAAGAUCAAGACCCAGGGUCUCCUCAUAGCCUAAGGGAUGCUGUGUGGCAUUUCCCCAUACUUCCUUUAUAGUGACCUAUACGAAGCUUUGGUGGCUUUUAACGUUCCACUUACAUUUGACAUUUAGCAUCCUCUUCCAAAGUGCUGGGCAAGAUGUUGCCUGAAUUGAGUGAGUCUUCUCCUUGGCAUCUGCAGAGAGCGCCACUGACCUGCCCUGGGUUCUCCCCAGGCUGCCUGGGUACAUAAGCAGAGCAGACUGUGGGUCAGGAGAAAAUGUUAGACCAGUGCCUGGUGGUUAAAUCAUGCACUGAGCUUCGCCCUGAAUGUUUCAGGAUUAGGGUUUCGAGAUCAGAAUAAAUAACCAUGGUCAUUCUAAGACAAACUGAGGGGGAUUGGGAUGCAAAGGCUCGUUAAUAUUUUCAUUACAAAUGCUGCCAUUCUCUGAGCGGUUCCCAAGCUACAGACCUGUGUUCCAAACCAGCCAUCACCUGCAUUCUCACCGAAGCCUGAAACAGUUCUGGGGGGUGGGGUUGUUAUCCUCGUUUUUACAGAUGACCCAACUGAAGCCUAGAGAGAUUACAACAUGUGUCCUCUGUCACCCAGCCAGUAAGUGGCAGAGGGUGCAACCUCAGGGCCCCCUCCUGCCAAAACCUGUGCAGACGGUCAGUUGACCACUGUGCCUACAGUGAUUUUCUCGUUUCUCUUUAGCUGGUUCCCACCCACUCCCAUGAAAAAACACCAAGUUUCAGAUGACCUGUCUACAGGGGAUGGCCACAACUUAAAAUCGUACCAGUAUAAUUAUACUCUGCCGAACUGUAAUAAUGUCUGCCAACAGUGGUGGGAUACUUUUGGGUUUUCUUUCAUUUCUUUUUUUUUUGUAAAUUAUUAUUAUUAUUAUUUUUAAUUUUAAUUCCAGUGUAGGGACUUUUUUUCUUCUUCUUCUUUUCUCCUGACCACUUUAAGAGAUGUUUCUCCCUAAUACAGUACUAAUUAGAAGGUUAUCUUGUUGAGUCACAACAUCUUACUGCUCCCCUUACUUAUCCACUGUCCUUUUGCAAAACGUUUAAAUCUUGCUCCUUGGGCUUCAGGAAACCCUGCUCGCAGCUUCAACCAGUCACCGGCUUGUUGUCUGUUUCCAUUUUUUAUUGCCAUCAAAUUUUAAAUAUCCUUUCAUUUCAGUAGAAGAGAACCAGACCAAACUAAACAUUCCUACAAUUUCACCCACCCUUUAAAAAAAUCUGACGUCAAGUGGUCUCCCAGCUUUCUAAGCUGGAAUUCUCCCAGACCGCACUCUGUUUACAUUAUUUAGAAGCACAGAUCUCAGCCUAGGCUCUAUUUUUGUUAGGAUACUUCCAAUUUUUUUUCCUCCAGUGAUUGUAUCCGUAAUUAAAUCAAGGACAAGAAGUGCAGAGGUGUCCGUCAUGUGCUAAUCUUCGGGGAAACUACUCAUCGCCAGUGAUGUUCUUUUUUUUUUUUUUUUAAAGAUUUUAUUUAUUUAUUUGACACAGAGAGAGAGAGACAGCAAGAGAGGGAACACAAGCAGGGGGAGUGGAGGAGGGAGAAGCAGGCUUCCCGCCAAGCAGGGAGCCCGAUGCGGGGCUCCAUCUCAGGACCCUGGGAUCAUGACCUGAGCCGAAGGCAGACGCUUAACAACUGAGCCACCCAGGCGCCCCACCAGUGGUGUUCUUUAAGCCUGGUAUUCAGAAGCCCAGUCAGAGAAGGUGGUUUUCACUAUCCCGGGAGUUCUGACAUCUCUAAUGUAGCUUGAGACCUGAUCACAUUCUCCCUCAUUCUCGAGGCUGGUCCUUAUUCCACCCCACCUUUCUCUGCCCGUGCUUCUGUAUAAAGUCACCCUCCCCUCUUUCAUCAGCUAGUCUUCUGCCCUUAAAAAACGUAAGUGGGGAAAAAAAGGUGAAAUAUACUGAGUAUACAGUUUCCAGGAAAAUAUGCAGAUUAAUAUAAUAAAUGCCUGUAUUCCCAUCAUUCACUGAGUUGUGUUAAAAUCAUAACAUCGCUAUGUGCGCUUUAGUUUGUUGGGGUUUUUUUGUUUUUUUUUUUUUAAUUUUAUUUAUUUGUUUGAGAGAGAGAGAAUGAGAGACAGAGAGCAUGAGAGGGAGGAGGGUCAGAGGGAGAAGCAGACUCCCUGCCGAGCAGGGAGCCCGAUGCGGGACUCGAUCCCAGGACUCCAGGAUCAUGACCUGAGCUGAAGGCAGUCGCUUAACCAACUGAGCCACCCAGGCGCCCUGUUGUUUUGUUUUUUAAAUAAAACAUUCAACACAGAGUUGAGGUCCCUGUGAAUCCCUCCCUGAUCUCCUUCCCUUUUCUGCUUCUCUAGAGGAAGCCACUCUCCCAAUUUAGGGAUUAUCAUUUCCAGGCGUGGUUUAUACUUUUAUUCCAUAAGUACGUAUCCGCAAAAGAUCUACAACAGAGAUUCCUGGACCUUCUCGUUUCAUGUAGUGUCUCAGCAGUUUUUUCCUAAGGCAUAUGAGGCCAACAGAAAUACCUAACACAUCCAUUUAUUAAGUAGUUAGGUCCAAACAACUUAAUGGAUAUUUAUGUCUUGACACCUUAGUAGCUGCCUGAAAAAAAGAAUACAUACAAAUUGAAAGGAAAGAUAUUAUUUCAUUUUUUUUUAAAGAUUUUAUUUAUUUGAGAGAGAGAGAGAGCACAUGAGAGGGGGAAGGGUCAGAGGGAGAAGCAGACUCCCCGCCGAGCAGGGAGCCCGAUGCGGGACUCGAUCCCGGGACUCCAGGAUCAUGACCUGAGCUGAAGGCAGUCGCCCAAUCAAGUGAGCCACCCAGGUGCCCGAUAUUAUUUCAUUUUUAAAUAGCCACCAUAACUUAUUAUUGAGAUGUGUGUCUUUGUUGGGCACUGAACAACUUCUCGGUCCUUGAGAUCGGUGGACGCUUCAGAGUUCAUUUCCUGUUCCCCAGUGGCUUUCACACCGUUCGUGCUCUUACUGCAGCAACAGUCAAAAAUUUGGCUUCACAAACAUAUGUCACUGAAAGGAGUGUAGGGCGAUAAAGUGGAAACCAGGAACUACCUCAGAGUAGAACUUGCAGGGCUCAACAGAUGUCAAGUAUUACCGAGCUUCCCUGCAAACUUGAAAACACCCCAUGGCUCCUCCAAGUUCAGUGCAGUGGCUCAGGACAGCCCAGCACGUCAGUUUCGGAACCGCAGAUAUGCAGCAUGUUUCUGUAGCAUUUUAUAGGUUUGAAAAUUUUAUGCAUUAAUAAAUCUUACUAUCUGCAUUGCGCUACAAGAGAGAUCAGCCAACUUUUUAUAUAGGCUUUGUGUGUCAUAGCAUCUCUGUGCAAAUAUUCAGUUGCAAAAGGCAGCCACAGGGAGCCCCGAAAAAUGCAGGAAGGAAGCCAUGUUCCAACAGAUUGAUUUAUUCAGACUCUGACAUUUGAAUUUCACCUAAUUCUCACAUGCAAUGAAGUAUUAUUCCUCUUUUGGUUUUUUCCCCCAAACAUUAAAAAAUGUAAAAAAAAAAAAAAAUUGAAGACUAUAAAAAAGUUGCAGGCCACCUAAAAGCAGAAGGCAGGCUAUUUUUGUUCAAACUGACAUUCCUGCGUUUAUCCGAGUAGCUGUGAUCAAAGAAGCCUCAUCCAACCCGUAGUGAAGUCUUCCUUGGCAUGAACAUAGGCACAUGCAUUUGUGCGCUCUUCCUUCAGGGGCACUGAGAUUCCUUUCUGGUGUUCUGUUGCAAAUAAUGCUACCGGGAACAUUCUAGUUUGUAUCUCUGAGAAUACGAACACAAGUCUCCGUGCAGCAGUCUUCGAGGGUCUGUUCCCAGGAGUGAGGUGUUAGGUCUGAAUAUGACCACUUGGCCAUUAUGUGUUGUAACACAUAAUGUAACUUCUCCUGUCUGUGCCUUGUCUUUUAAAUGUGUUCAUUGUACCUUUUCUUUUUCCAUCCUUUCUGUUCAUGAUUUCUGCUUUUGGAGUCACAAAGAUCAUUGAUAUUGGCUUAUAAAAUGCUGCCUCUUACAUGUAGGCCUUUAAAUAUCUCAAGGUUUCUGUUCGUUUAGGGUGGCCCUUUUCCCGAAGUCAUAACAUUUGUGAAAUUUUUUCCUCCUUGGUGACUCUUUCGGAGGUGGCUGUCAGCGCCAGCCCUUAAAAACAAACAAAAAAGGCCCAAGCAGGUUCCGUAGAUUUAAAUCAAUCAGGAGCUCAGCUCCCCUCGUUCCAUGCCCCCUUUCAAGGUCGCUGCUGGUGGUGGGACCUGCACUUGGAACUGCUCUCUAAGCCACCUACUCUGGCCAAGUGAGGGUCUCCCUCCUACUCCGCCUCCCCAGGGAAGAGCAGCGACCAGUUAGAUGGUCUCCGACACUGCUUGCCAGGCGCAGAGCCCAGGCUUUCUGCAAGGAGAUCCACGCAUCAUCUCCCCCUCCCCCUGACUAGUCACCUCUUGAUGCUGGACUUGCCUUGGCAGUGGUACCUGGUUUUUGGAGAAUUGAAAAGCUAUCCUACUGCCUCUUCUAAUUCUAUGUUGUCCAGUUCUGAACAUUUGUCAUAAACGGUCCCGUGGGCCUUUGAAAAGAAGGUUUAAUUUUAUGGCCUAUUUACUUUUCUGUUUGACAAGAUACUUUGAAUAAAACUAUCUUAACUUUUGCAAUACUGUCAGUUCAUCUAUUUGGUUAUUAUUUGUAUUGCUGAUAUGGUCUCUAAAUAUAAAUCAAUCCAAAAGUGUUUUUGAGAUAAGGAAGAAAUAACUUUCACUAUAGAAGAUGUCAAAAACUUCAGGUCUUUAUGAUCUAGCUCAGCAAAAAAAGGAGUAUGUGAUGAUACCAGUUUUCUAGAAUUGAUUUGCAGAAGAAGAAUACAAAACAUUUAUCCCCUUUCUUGUGGGAAAGUAGUUGAAGAGUUUUUAAUUAGAAGCCUAGUUUCUGUUUGUCUUUUUCCAUGGUGCACAUGGGAUAGUAAAUUAUGAGAAGUCAUGCCCCCCACCCCAUUUCUCUGCCUCUCCACGAAGUGCCCACCAUCCUGAAUUUUGUGUAUUGAUGAUAAGACUUUUUAGUUAUUGCUGCCGACUUACAUAUAUUUUGUAUGUAUCAACUCUGUCAUAAAUUUUUUUAAAAAAUUUAGAAACAGGAUUUGUUAAUUAACAAUCACCAGAUUUUACAACCUGAUCUUUCAGAGUUUUGGUGGAAUUAAGUUAGAGUAAUAUUAAGUUACACUAAUAUUUUUUGUUUCCUGUUUUGGCUGAUAACAGUUUUUAGGUCAUUUUCUGCUACAUAUGCUGAAAAUCAAGAUAAUGGAGAUGAUUUUCCAUAGAGCAGCCAAAUAUAAUAGAUUGCCAGCUCCAGCUGCCUAGGUUUUUUAUUUAUUUUUUAUUCAAGUAGAGUUAACAUACAGUGUUGUAUUAAUUUCAGGUGUACAAUAUAGCGAUUCAACAAUUGUACGCGUUGCUCAGUGCUCCUCAAGAUAAGUGCACUUCUUAAUCCCCGUCACCCAUUUAACCCAUCCCCCCACCCCCCUCCCCUCUGGUAACCACCAGUUUGUUCUCUAUAGUUAAGAGUCUGUUUCUUUGUUUGUCUUUUUUUCCCCCCUUUGUUUUGCUUCUUAAAUUCCACUUAUGAGUGAAAUCAUAUGAUAUUUGUCUUUCUCUGGCUUAUUUCACUUAGCAUUAUACCCUCUAGGUCCAUCCACUGUUGUUGCAAAUGGCAAGAUUUCAUUCUUUUUUAUGGCGGAGUAAUAUUGCAUUGUAUAUAUAUCCCAUCUUCUCUACCCAUUCAUCUAUCGAUGGACACUUGAGUUGCUUCCAUUAUCUUUGCAACUGUAAAUAAUGCUGCAGUAAACCUAGGGGUGCAUGUAUCUUUUCGAUAAAUAUCCAAAGAAAACUAAAACACUAAUCCAGCUGCCUAGGUUUGAAUUGCCCUCUGCCAUGUGCUGGACGUGUCCUUGGGUAGGUCACUUAACUUACCCAAAUCACAGUUUCUCCAGUACCUAUCACAAGGCUUAUUCUGCAGAUGACAUGCAGUAAUGUUGGAAAAAGUACAGACCCAGACCCACACGGAACAGUGGAUGCCAGCUACCAUUUCCACCUUAAGAUGCUAAGGAUCUUUACUUUUUAGAUAACUCUUCACAAAUACUAAUUCAGUUUUCAAGUGAAGAAUAGCUUUGUGAGUACACUUGAUGAAACUCCUAUGAAACUCAUAGAGGGAUUUGAGUUCUGCCAGUGGGAAACACUGUUGCUUGUAUCUCUUCUUAUACAAAGGCAUCCAGGACUAUCCACACCAGGGAUCUAAGAGAUCUAAGGGGAUUGGAUUGCUUCAAAUACCCUCCUUUCGGGUUAGGGAAAUCCUUCUAGAAGGCCUUGUUCAAAAUACUCUGUGGUUACCAGGGAGAAUGACGGAUGCCCUGGAGCCCAGUGGAUUCACAGGUGCAUGAUAUCAUUCCAGCAUAUCCCUGUCUUGCCUAAGCCUUGCACUAUGGAAUGCAAAAGAGCUCAAGAAACUGAAACUCAAAAAUUGUUGAGAAACAAUGCAGAGAGUCUUUGCAAUGGCAUUAAACAUGAAAAUUAAAAACAUACGGUCUGAAAUUCAACUGGCAUAUUUAACAUCUCAAAUAUACUCUGGUGCCAAAAGGGAUGCUAAUCACAACAUGAGGGAUUCAGCUUCUUAUUUGGGAAAGACCAUCACUGCCAAGGGGAGAGAGGCAGGAAGCAAAUCAUUUUGCAAUCUGAAAAAAUAGAGUAGCUAAGUCACGUAGGAUAUGCUACUUUUACCCGUCUUGCAGAGCCAAUAGGUCCAAUACUCUUGCUUUUAUUUCCCGGUGCACUUGUGUAAGAAUUUCACCUAGGGGAAAUGUAAGUAUCUUGGGAACAUCCCACAUGUAUGUAAUAUAAAACAAGUACCUUUUGUUUGUUAAAGUAAUGUUCUAAUCAUUAUAGAGGACUCAGAAACUUUUCAUAAGAAGAAAAUUCAAGUCCUAUCCAGUAUGUCCAUACAGAUAUUUCACAUUUUGUUCUAAUCCUGCCCUUCUUCUAUGCAGGCUUCCUUGUAAAGGACGUUGUAAUCCCACUGAGAUGAGUUACUCACUUUUAUCUAUUUAUGUAGACCUUGUAGAGUCUAUAGGUCCAACACUCUUCUGAAAAAAGGCCAUUCUCCAAACUGUUUCUCUCUUUCUGCUGCACCCACCCCCACCGUUCCCCACCGUGUAAUCUCUUAUUGGGGAAUUUUCUUUCCGACAUUCUGCUGGUCAGUUCUGAGUUUCAUCCUGCUCAGCUCUUAGCCACAUCGGGUGGGGCUUCUCUCCUCUUCCUUAAAGCUCUUUCUAAAUGUCAGCCUCUCCUGGCUCUCCUCCCAGCUGCUAUUUCCAGGGCUGUCCCUUUGUGGGAGCGCCCCAUCUAUAUACAGCUGUAUCCCUAGCUUCUCCAUAAAAAGUCAUUAAAUGUCUUCCCAAUUCAGAGAACUUUAUAGAGGCAGGGAAGGGAACAGUUCGUAACUUUUUCAUCAAUAUUUCAAUUACAUUAGAAGAUGUUCCGAGUGGUCAGGUGUUUGCACACAUAUGUAAGACUGAGUGCACAGGGUAGGCAUGAAUGCAGAAGGAUUAGGUGUUCUUGGCCACUCAGAUGUCACAAGUGGUUAUUGGCAUUGGUGACAUGAUCUUCUGAAAAAGCACACAACUCGUGGCAAAGUUAAGGCUAACCUUUCUUCAGUGUUCACUGUUGUUUGCAUUCGUUGAAAAAUGGGCAUAUAUUGAUAGCUUGAAAAAUAUUAUAUUUCUAUGUAAAACAAACUAGGGGGAAGGUUCUAGCCCCCUAUAAUCAUAAGCAGGUUUUUCAACUACAAGAGUGUCUGGAGGGAAGAUCCUGUGGGCAGGGGACAAAUUUCUGUGGGACCACCCUGCAUGUUGCAAGAUGUCCAGCAUCCUGGCCCCACCCACAGCUCCUCCCACUCACUAGGAGAACCAGAUAGACCCCCAGGUGGUACCCCUCUGUUGGGCACUGACAAUCCUUCUGCACCUCUGUUCUUUCAUCUAUAAAGCCAGGGAAAACCAUGCAUCUAAAGCACAUAGAGAAGUUCCUGGCAUGGAUAAGUUUUACUCCUAGGGACAAGAGUUUACCUUCCUUGAGGACCUGCUGUGUGCUGGGCACCCUCCUGGGGGCUUUAUAGGUGUUAUAUAUGUUCAUAUGUUUUAUAACAACCCUAGGAGAUAGUUACCAGGAUAACCUCCUGUUCUAGGAGAGGAAAUGGAACAUCAGGGUGAACUAUUAGUUUGUCUGAAGGCAAACAGGUAGUGCAAUGAGGAUCAGGGAUUUGAACCUAAGUCCUUGGCCCCAGAGCCUUUGCUCUUCCCGCUGUGCCUUACUGUUUCCUCAGUGGUCGCUGUCAUUCCAUAUCAUCAUCAUAGGGCCUAUGCAGAGCUCCUAAUGGGCACUAAAUGUUUUUUGAAUGAAAAAUUAUUAAUGCACAUGAGUUGGCUGAAUGACUUACCUGCUGGUAAAUGUGUCCAAAUUUCCACUAGGCUUUUAAUGGUGAAUAUGGACAUAUUUGCCAGGUAGUUUGUUGAAGCAGUAUUUAAAUAAAGAGCAAUUAAAUAAAAACAGUAAAAUGUUUGGGGAAAGUUUUGAAAGAAGUUUUGAACUUUAGGAAUAUCUAACCUAACCUCAACUGUUUACAUUUACAAAAUGCCAGUUUAUUUUCAAUGAGAUAUCUAGCCUAUCCCUCGUUAAGAUUUAUGCAUAUUCUGGGGCGCCUGAGUGGUUCAGUCCUUAAGUGUCUGCCUUCUGCUCAGGUCAUGGUCCCAGGGUCCUGGGAUCGAGCCCCGCAUCGGGCUCCCUGCUCGGCGGGAAGCCUGCUUCUCCCUCUUCAACUCCCCCUGCUUGUGUUCUCUCUCUUGCUGUGUCUCUCUCUGUCAAAUAAAUAAAAUAAAAUCUUAAAAAAAAAAAAAAAGAUUUAUGCAUAUUCUAAAUAAUGUUCUUAAUGUAAUUGUGCUUCCCAUCAUAAAACGUGGAGUUAAAGUAGACCUUUAUCAGGUUUUACGGAGAUUAGUACUAUGAAAGUUAACAUAAAAUGAUUUUAAAAUGUGAUCAAGAUUAAACUUGAGGUUUGAAAUUCACAAAAUGCAAGGCUUUUUAAGGAGGUUAUUAAGAUCCAGUGUUCAGUGAAUGACUUCUAAAUUUCCAUUGUGUGACUGUUAUUUUACCCUAUCUUGGCUGAGAACUUUCAACCUAAAAAGACUCAAAUUACCCUAACCUAAUAUGUGAAUUGUAGUUUAGAAAAUUAUAAUUCCAUGAGGUUGUUUUAAACUUUUAGCAAUGUUUGGUAUAAUUACAAUAUUGUACUGUUCUUAUUCGAAGAAAGCAGUAGAAUUUCUGGCAAGGAAUAUUAGGAAACUGGUAACUGUUAAAGGAACAGUGGAGCCUUUUGUGGACCUCUUUACAUCUUUUGGGGGGCAGAGAAAGAAACAUUAAUUAUUAGUGUUUUCUAAAACCCUCCUCUCUUCCCAGAUUCAACCAUAAAGUUGUUUGGGUUUUUUUUAAAGAUUUUAUUUAUUUAUUUGACAGAGAGAGAGAGAUCACAAGUAGGCAGACAGGCAGGCAGAGGGAGAGGGAGAAGCAGGCUCCCUGCUGAGCACAGAGCCCGAUAUGGGGCUCCAUCCCAGGACCCUGGGAUCAUGACCUGAGCCGAAGGCAGAUGCUUAACCAUCUGAGCCACCCAGGCGUCCCAACCAUAAAGUUGUUUUAUCUAUUAAUACUUUGGGGGGGUUUUGUGGCUUUUUAAAAGAUUUUAUUUAUUUAGGAAGAAUGACAGAGCACAAGCAGGGAGAGGGAGAAGCAGGCUCUCUACUGAGGGCUUCCAGAAUGAUAUUGUAGAAUUACUGUUGCCAGGACUCCCGUGAAGAUGGUGUUUCUUUCCACCCCCACCUCCCUCACAUAAGUCAUUCCCGCUUCCCGAAGGGGAACAGUUGGGGGGUGGGAAAGGGCAAGAAUCCUAUCCAAGGGUGCUCCCUCCCUAGGAAAGGGCUCUGUCAGCAGGUAAAAAUGUGGGUGCUGUAAGACCUGCAAGACUAUCUCCAUGUAUUUCCACAAACACAAGAUCACAGAAAUACAAUGUCCAGUGAAAAAGCAGGUUGUGGGAUUGUAAGUACAGUCUAGCAUGUUCAUAAGAUACAAAAAUAGCACUGUCUUUUGUUUAUGCCUUUGUAUGUAUGUACAAGUAGGAACGCAAGACCUGGAUAAGCACCAAGUUAGUAAGAGUUUCCCUCUGGGGAUGUGGGGAGGAGGGAGCUCAACUGGGGGCCCAGGCACAGGAGAUGGCAGGGGGACCUCAGCUCUCUCUAUGUUGUUUACCUUCUUUGUAAAAGGAAAAUAGGCAAUUGUGGCAAGAUGUUAAUGUUUGUUAGUUAUGCAUUGGGGGAAGGGUGGAGAGGAAAUUCAGGUCUGUAAUUUAGGACAGAGGCUGAGACCAGAGCCUCUGAUUGGCAGUCCUCAUUAGAAUGUGGUCAAGUAUUUAGCAUUUUUGAGCUAAAUCUAGAUGUUAAUAGUCAUGCUUAGAGGGUCAGGGCUUUACAUUACUUUCUAGCGGAAGUGAUGGAUGAAUGCCAAUAGCUGAUGUAGUCAGGCCGGCCCAGCCAGGUGGUGAGGCUUCCUCUACACACUGAACUGGGAGAAACCGAGGCUGUGUGCGCUGCUUUCCAGGGGCAUCAAGGAUGGCUUAUUCGGGGGCGCCUGGGUGGCUCAGUCGUUAAGCGUCUGCCUUCGGCUCAGGUCAUGAUCUCAGGGUCCUGGGAUCGAGCCCCGCAUCGGGCUCCCUGCUCAGUGGGAAGCCUGCUUCUCCCUCUCCCACUCCCCACUGCUUGUGUCCCCUCUCUUGCUGUGUCUCUGUCAAAUAAAUAAAUAAAAUAUUAAAAAAAAAAAAAAAAAAGGAUGGCUUAUUCGUCCACGAAGUGCUCCUUAUUCCACACUGAGAUGUUCAGUUAUAUUCGAACGAAUGAGGUUCUUAGAAAAUUUUCCAUAUUUUCGGGGCACUUGGGUGGCUCAGUCGUUAAGCGUCUGCCUUCAGCUCAGGUCAAGAUCCCGGGGUCCUGGGAUCAAGCCCCGCAUUGGGCUCCCUGCUCCUCGGGAAGCCUGCUUCUCCCUCUCCCACUCCCCCUGCUUGUGUUCCCUCUCUCGCUGUCUCUCUAUCUCUCUCUGUCAAAAUAAAUAAAUAAAAUCUUAAAAAAAAAAGAUCCUGGGAUCCUGGGAUCAAGCCCGCAUCAGGGUCCCUGCUCAGCGGGAGUCUCCUUGCCCCUCUCCCCUUCCCCCUCCCCCCUGCUCAUGCUCUCUCUCUCUCUCUCUCAAAUGAAUAAAUAAAAUCCUUUAGAAAAUGUCCAUAUUUUCAAGUGUUGAGGCACACGAACAUUCUGAAUGUCAAACACCAACAAUCUGAGUACCUUCUCUUGAUUUCCCCCCAUCUUGUUUAGUCCUUUUUUGUUUUAUAAAAUUGCAUGAAUGCUUUGGUUGAGUAUGGAUUUUUAUUACUUUUUAGGGUUAGGCAAUAAUUUAAUGAUGUAACUUCUAAAAAUAUUCAAAACAACUACAAAAACAGUUUUUUGCCUCCAAAAAGCAUUUCUUUGUUUAGUACAUAACACACACAAAGGAGAUAGCAUUGAGAGCAAGAACUGUUCUUGAAGUCAGAUGAGCAGGAAACCCUUUGGAGUUCCACACGUAUAGCCUGUCCUUCUGCAUCCUGGCAUACAUACUUGUUCCUGCUUUCCUGCCUGAAUUCUGGAGCUUGUGAUCAGACCCUCUUCUAACAGUUACUUUGCAUCGCAUAGCUGUGGGGAAUUUAUGGGCACAUCUCAACCUCUAAAAUGUCAGCUCUUUCAUCAGCAAAACUUUAAACAAAUCUCACACAUCUUUUCUAAAUUAGAAAUGUAACCUUGACCGCAGUCCCAGAGUUACUAUUGUGCACAGAAAGAAAACACUGCGUAAUGUUGAAAUAAUGUGCAAACUGAAAUGAUAGAAAUGAAAAAUGCUUUAAUGUUUCUGAAUAGGCUUUGUUUUCACAAAUGCAUCAGUUAUAAUUAGGUUCACUCACAAAUAACAGCAACAGCGAAAGAAAGGGGCCCAAAGCAAAUGCAAGUUUAUUUCUCUGUCACAUGAAAGAAAUCCAGUCGACGGGAAUGGCAGCUCCUCAAUCAUCAGGGGCUCUAUGCUACCUAGUAGUCCAAGAUGGUUACCCAAGCCCCUGCCAUCACAUCUGUAUCCCAGCCAACAGGAAGAAGGAAGAAAGGCACACACCCUUUUUAGGAGCCUUCCUGGAAGUUACACCCUACAUUUCUGUUAAUUAAUUACCUUAGUCACGCUUAACUACAGCUAAGCCAUACUUAGCUACAAGAGAAGCUAAGACAUUUUCUGAUUCUACAUGGUCUCCUUCAAAUAGAAAGGUGGGUUGAUAACCCACGGUCAGCAUGACAUAGCUCCAGAGGUUUUCCAAACAUAUAUAGUUGAGUUAAUGCCACAUCACCCAUGUCACCAUCUCCUUUUUGACAGCACCUGCCAGGUGGCCAGGCUGGAUGGAGGAGAGGCAGACUUUUGGCUUCUCUACAUAACCAUGCUUAGGAUUAUUUUUAAGUCAGCCAAACCGACCAGCUCACUUUCAUUCUUAAGUACAUCACAGAUCAUUUUUGAAGAAGAGUUUAGAACAUGGCCAAAAGUAAGACCGGUUUUAUAAAUCAUGACUCCUUAUAAUGGAAUAUUAUAUAAUAAAAUAUUAUCUGGCAGAUGUUAAUAUCUGCCAUAAUGAAGCCUUGUAUAAACGCUUACCUUUACCAGUAUAAUAAUAAUAUUUCUAUACACUUAGCAUUUCCCUGUAUAAUACAAAUAAUCCUAUUUUAAUCAGCAGCUUUACCCAAGUCAGACUCACUUGUAGAGGAAAGGCCAAGCUAGGGACAUACCAAAGAGAAGUAGAGGAGAAAGAAGUGGCAAAUUGAGGGUUCACUCUUCGUUUAUACAAAAUGAGAAGUAAGGCAAACUGUGGUUUCAGCACCUUUGGGGCUUAGGGAUAGGGUAGAGGUCAGGAGGUGGGAACAUUAGAAUUAUUCCUCAUUAUUUGUUACCUUUUACCUAGAAAAUAUGCUACCAGACAUCUCAAGGGUAUCUUUCCUCUGUCAACAGUAGAGUGAUAGCCAGGAACAUAGAUUCUAGUGAAAAUAGUUAAAAGUGCCUGAUUUGUUUUUUUUCUUCACAUCAAAUUUUCCAAUAAUGUAUCACUAAUAAUAUAUCCAUUUUUUUUUAAAGAUUUUAUUUAUUUAUUAGAGAGAGAGAGUGAGAGAGAGAAAGAGCACAAGAGGGGGGAGCGGCAGAGGGAGAAGCACACUCCCUGCUGAGCAGGGAGCCCGAUGCGGGACUCGAUCCCAGGACUCCAGGAUCAUGACCUGAGCCGAAGGCAGUCGCUUAACCAACUGAGCCACCCAGGCGCCCAAUAUAUCCAUUUUUUAAACAGAAAAAGCCUAUACUGAAAAUAAGCCAAAGAAAAAAUUUGUGCAUGCCUCCUUUUCAAGGUUGUUUUCUUAACUUGGAGCUUUUUACAAAUGUAAACAUGAAUUACUGGUCUUUUCAGCGUGUUCUCAUUUUAUUGUCUUAAAAUUGGAUCCUUUCAAGGUCCAGUCCUGUUGGACAGGCAUGGGGUAGGGGGGGCUAGUCUUACGCUCCUGUCUGUGUCACAACUACCACAGGAAACGUAGAAAGCAGGACCAUGCGGACCAUUCCUGCCUCCACGCCCAGCAGUAGAGCCUCAGGAUCAGUGAGAGGAACAUUGCACCUGCCAUCCUAAAUAUAAAGAUCAUUGUUGAUAACACUGAGCUUGCGGUCAUUGUUCCUUGUGAGCUCCCUGUGCUGACUGCACGAAUGCUGAGCAGAAUGGAGCCAGGCUUGAAUAAUCAUGACAUUGAUCUUUCAGGAAACGAGUAGGACUAGACAUGAAUGUAAAAACAGCAGGUCUAGCCUCCUCCCUUCUUAGAUAAGAAACCUGCAAAGUAGAGUCUGGGCCAGUGACCCUUGGAUGUUUUGACCAAAAUUGAGAGCCUCAAGUACAUUUUUUAUCACACAUGCAUGUGCGCACACAUGUGUGCAUGUACAAAAAAACUGAAUCACGCCUUCUGAAACAAUACUACUUACUCUUGUGUGAUGUAUCUUAAUAAUUCCUAUACUGUUUCUUUUUCUCUUUUUAAUUCUGGGUGCAACCCCAUACGUUAAUUUUGUGACCCACUAAUGGGUCUCUGCCUUCAGUUUGGAUAAUCCCAGCUCUGCCUGUUUGUUGAAUACAUUGUCAUCUUCCAGCUUUCAAGUUUAAAAUGUUUUCUUCUGUCUGUCUUAGUUUCCUCUAUUAGAAGUUGCCCUGCUAGGAAUGUUGAUGUAUUUCAUUUGUUCUCAAGCUCCAUGAUCAUAGUUUCACUUGCUGGGUUUCUUGUACUUGCAGAAAAAGCUAUUACAGGUUUUUUUAUGUUCCCCCCCCGCCCCGGGAAGCUUUCAGAUAAAAUAUAUUUCUCUUUUGACCUCUUUACUUUUUUCCUCCUUGUGUUUGUUUUCAUAAAAUGCUCCAUGAAAAUUGUCCUAUUUCAUCUUUUGAUUAUUGUAGGGUGAGACAGGUUAGAAGCAAAUCCUUUCCGAAUUGGCCUCUCUUUUGAGUUAUUUUCCUUGUGUCCAGUUCUUGGGAGCAGCAAGAGAACAGCUCUGCCCCCAUGCAGUCAUCCGAAAUUCCAGGCCUCUAGCCAGAACUCUGGGACGCCAUUGUUUGCUAAAAACAGAAGGGUUAAAACCCUGGUCAUGGCGAUGACAUUGUACAAAUGCUCAUGAUUGCAACAAGAAGACGGGAACUAUUUGGAUAAUGGAUUCAUGAAUUUAAUUCAGUUGGAUUUUUAUAAGGGAGGUAAAAAUAACAUGUAUAAUUUAAUUUUCAUCUUCAACAUUUUUUUCCAAAAUUAAAUUUCACUUUGGUCAAAAUUAUUUUAUAAAAUAGGAUGAUUAAUGACGGUUUCAAAUAAUGGGAACCAGCAUCUGUAACUAAUUAAUUCCAGAGGAAGGAAAUUCUGGGUCCUGACACCAAAGCGCAUCUUAGUGGCAUUACUGGUAUUUCCAGCGUUUUUUUUUUUUUGUCAUUACUGAAAACUUAUGGUUCAAGUUGAUCUAUGUCCUUUUUAUACUUUGCUUAUCUUUUUCUUUCCUUUCCCCAGAUACAUCCUCUAUAACUUUCUCAUGCAUUCUAUACUACUACCAAAAUUCUCUAAUAUAUGUAUAUAAGCAUUGCCAUCACCAAAAGGGUAAGUGGAAAGGCUCAGGCUAGUAUGAAUACUGUUUAAUUACUGAUUUCUUUAUGUGGGUCUCCUAAUAUGUGCCUGGUUGGUUCUACAUAUUCUUAGGGAAAUUUCACCUUAAGACAUUGAAUAAGGGCGCCUGGGUGGCUCAGUCGUUAAGUGUCUGCCUUUGGCUCAGGUCAUGAUCCCAGGGUCCUGGGAUCGAGUCCCACAUCGGGCUCUCUGCUCAGCGGGAAGCCUGCUUCUCCCUCUCCCACUCCCCCUGCUUGUGUUCCUGCUCUCGCUAUGUCUCUCUCUGUCAAAUAAAUAAAUAAAUAAUCUUUAAAAAAAAAGAGAAAAAAAAAAAGACAUUGAAUAAAAGCAAAGAAGAACACAGAUUAAAUAGACAAAUCCAAAAGAGGAGAAGGGAUUUGAUUUUUUAUAAAAUUUCAUAGACUUAAGAUGAUUUGGAUCCUCAAAAUUAAUAUGUGACUUUGAAUGGAGUCUUCCCUGAGUUUAUCUGCAAACAGCUGCAGCUGGAUAGACAUGUUUACAUAGGGCAGAAAGAGUCGGUUUGAAGAGUCUAGUUUCCACUUGCUUUAGCACUAUUCAGGAAUUACAGCCCAUGAUGCUUCAGAAGGAAGUCUAGUCCAGCAUAUUCCUUGCUUCCUCCUGUACAAAGGUUUUAUUUUUAUUUCUGAUUUGUUGGGAGAAAAUAAGUGCUGACUACAUGGAGGCUACAGUUUCAUUCCUCCCUCUGUUGAGAAGAAAUUCUUCCGAGGAUCCAGUUAGCAGAGUCGGCCCUGUGCAGACAUAUUUCUUACCUCAACCCCUUUUGAGCCAAGUGGAUUUGCAAGGACUAGUUCUUCCGUGAGCCCUCUCACAGUCCAUAAACUCAAGUUCAUGUCCAAAAGGAAUGGGGUACUCAGUAUGUCAUCUAUUUGAUACCUAUGUUUUUGCAUGUAUCAUAAAGAAAAAAAACUAUUGCCGUGAUAAAUUGGCUAUGAAAUCUGAAAGUUUUGAUAUUCUGAGGACACAUGGAAUCAAGGGCUCCUUAGUUACCCAGCAGGUGGAAAUUCCACUAGUAAUUCUCAGGACAGCAUCAGGCAUAUCAAGUAGCCAGAAACUCAGGGAAAAAUGGUCUUGGUGCCUCAGUUUAACUUUGUCUCAGAGCCAAGGAGGGGUUUCCCCAAGGUAAAAACAAACAUGAGAAUUUAGAUCUAAAGCAGUUGUUGCCUUUUCUCCCACUGCGUACGUGGUGAUAACGGGAACGUGCAAGAGAAUGGGCAUUGUUCGUUUCCGCAACCAGUCAUGGGAAGGCAGAUGCCUGGCUGGAGGAGGCUGGGAAGUCAAGUUUUGGGGGCUGACUCUCCCAGUGGAAGGGGGCCAUUGGUUCUCGGGAGGCCAGGUGGCCGAGUGAGUGUUCUCUGCUGUGGCCCACUGCUGCGUUGGGUACCAAGCCCAAUGGAACUGGUCUGGGGAGCUUCGUCUCUGGGAGCUCUUUCCUUGUUCUCUCGUAAACUCCCCGCUGCUGCCCAGGACUUGGCCCUGUUGGCACACAGACCAAAAAGUAAGAGAGGAUUGUGAUUCACAAUCCCUAGAUUAUUUGCUCCAAAAGAGAAAACAAAUUUAUGGAUUCCGUUUAAAAAAGAAAGAAAGGCGUAUCAUAAUGAACAAGACUCCAGGUUACAUGCUUUCUGUUACCACAGCAGACCCAUAUUGCAAUGAGAAAACAAGUCACCAAUCAGAGUUCAGGAAAAGAAUUCAGAGCUACGUUUCCUGUACCAAAAUAUUGAAGUACAUGGUAUCAAGAUUUUUGCUGGAAGCACCACCUACCAAGCAGUUCAGCUGGAGAAAUGUGGCGUGAUUAAUUGGCUCGUGGACAGGACGGCAGGGCCCGGACACUGGCAUAGACCGCAGUCAGAUGGGCCUUGGUUUCAGCCUGAGCUCCAUCCGUCAGGGCAGUGUGAGCUUGGGAAGAAUGGUUUAUCCUUAGCCUUACAAGCCGUAUGUGACAGGUCAAGGUCCCUCGCAGGUACUGAAGGGUGAAACGAGACCGACGCCGUCUAGUAUGUUGCCUGACACACAGGCAGUGCUUAGUGAAUGUUAGUCUCUGUGCUCUCCCUGUGCCCAGUCUCUAAUUAGAAUAGCUUUCCCCAUCGUAUAUGUUUCUUCUUGGCAGGAAGACCGACCACUGCUCCCACCUGUGUUGUUCCAUAUUGAUUUUGUUCUGUCCAUCCUUCCUUUCUUUCUCGGUGAGGGGAGUGCAGCAUCCCCCAGUGAGGCGCUCGCUACUUUUCAUCUCCAGGAACUGCCGUGGUGUAGUGAGCAUGCAGAGAUUAUACUGCCAUUAUCCUAUUUCAGGAACUUCUGGUAUAUACAGGUAUCGUUAGCAUAACAAUUUUAUAUAAUUUUUUUUAUUCCGGCGUCUAAUGGAUUUGUAACAUUCUCAGGAAGAGUAUCUAGAAAGUAUAAGACUCCUUCGUCAUGCUUGAACCACAGCAAUAACAACCUCUGUUGUUAUUUUGGUAGAUAAUUCUAGUUUGGGGGUUUUUUUAGAAGGGGGUUGGUGAGAAUGCUGUGCAUUGUAGGAUAUCUGGCAGCAUCCCUGGCCUCUACUUCCUAGAUGCCAAUUACGACAACCAAAAAUGACUGCAGACAUUACCAAAUGUCUCGUGGAGGGGGAGGGGGAGGAGGUGGGCAGAAUCAGCCCCAUUAGAGAACUACUGAUCUAUCCUUAAGGUUUGUGAUUCCAUAGUAAUGGGUUCAGUAAAUGUACCAAAGCAUGAACCAUUCAGAAGUCAGUGUGCUACCCCUGAAGCUAAUAAUGCAGCGUAUGUUCACUAAAUUGAGUUUAAAUUUAAAUUUUUUUUUUAAAAAGAAGUAAAUGUGAAACAGACUUGAAUUCAAAUUUGCUAUGUAGUGGCAAAUAAAUAAAAAUUUUGAAAUACCAGAGGGAAUUCAAGCAAGAAAAAGUACAAUGGGGAAAAGUCAGAAAGAUGUUCCUUUUUUUAAUGAGGUGAUUCGUAUUUCUGAUCUUGGUCAUGUUAAAAAUGUACUCUGUUUCCUCCCUAAAUGAAGACAUGAGUACAUACAUGAGUGCUUAAGGGCCAGGCAAUAUAAUAGAGGUUCAGUAAUUGUUAGAUGAGAAAAAAUGGAGGUUUUUCCUUAAUGCUGAGAUGCAUGUGUUUAAUUAAAAGUGCAGAAAGCGUGUAGUGCAGAAGAGAGCUCUGAGCUGAGCAUCCGAGGGACCCGGGACACCAUCUCAGGAAGGUAACUGGCCAGGCACUUGGGAGCCCCGAGGAAGUUCGUUCCUCAGAACUCUAGAAUUUUGUGAACCCCUAAUUUUUAGGUCCCCCCUAUGAGGUAGUGAUGUAAAUGCUUUUUUUUUUUUUUUGUAAGUUAGCUGAUUGGUACUUGCUUAUCUGAGUCCUCAUUGUGAUGAAAAUCUUCAAUGCAUUGUGUACUGCACAUUGGACACAUGAUAGGAUAAUUUGACGUAGAAAAAUCAUCCCUCUGCCUCAUCGAAGAAUUUCAUGGACACGGUAUGUGCCUGCCAGUCGUGUUUUAUUGCCGUUUCUGUUCAGUUUGUCCGGUGUGACUUAGGGCGCCCUCGCAGAGCCUCACGGAAAGCAGGAGCCUGGUUGUGCAGGAUCGGUUGUCACUUUCCACCUGAACCUUGAGCUCUGUUUCCUGCGAAAGUGCUAACAGUUUUUGUCCAAACAGCUAGUCCCUUCCCAGCGCAGACCCACCGACACUUCCUUUCUGAACAGAUUAUGGGUUAUAAAGUUUGAUUCAAGCCUUGCUACCAAAUCAUGACCUAGCAGCUUCUGUGCUUACACAGAAGAGUAUCAGUCAGUUUCCUGUUUUCCGUCAUGUUGUAAGGUGAAUAGCUGUGACCUCCGCGCCCCCCCCCAAAAGAGAUUGCCAAGACAAAUAAUUGUUGUGGCACACGCAAACAUUUCCCUGCGAGCCUUUUUAAAUAUGCAGCUUUCAGAGAAGCAUAUUACAUGCUUUUCAAGAAUGCAAAGUCAUAGUAAGUACCCCUGCUUCAUGACUCAAGAACAGCUAGCUGUCUAUUAAAGUCAACAUUAAGUAACUCUUUAGCAGGUACGUCUUUUAAAAUUUAUCAAUAGCAGCAAAUAGGGUAAGUGACUAAAUUGCUUAUUUCAGAUCACUAGGAAAACUUAACUUACAGGUUGCUCUGUUGACCAUUCUCAGGAAGCGUCUGGGAACUGGAACCUGCCGGUGGGAGUGGCUUGUCCCCUGCUCACGUCAAUACACAGAUACACAGCAGUGCGCGCUGUCCAUUUCCAAGCUGAUACGUGUGGAUGUCGCCUUAGGAAGUGGUGCUUCCUUGUGUGACUAGCGACUCUGCUCCAGCACACCUUUUCCACACUGUCUUCCUUAGCAGCCAGCUAUUCAAAAACAAGUAACCUAGAAAAUGAUUCCAUGCCAUAUUUCAGAGCCGUCUGCAAAGUGUACCGUGACAGGUAGCAGACCUACAGAGAUGAGGAGGACAUGGUCCCUGUCCUCUGAGUGGGAGAUGCCACCUAAGUCUAAUUGGGAUGCCGCAUGCAGAGAUAGGUAUGGGCCCGGUGAAGGAGCAAACCAGAGGGCCGGGAGGGGCAGGAGGGCUGACCAUCUCCCCUGAGAGGAUUGGGGCAAACUUCUGGAGCAUCUGGGCCGAGGCUUGGACAAUGAGUUAAAGAAGAGAGGUGGGAGAGAGGAACAUUCCAGUUGUUCCCAUCUGGAGGAGGGUCAGAGGUGACAAACAUAGUAUGUGUGGGCUCUGCAGGAAGCUUGAUAUUAGUAAAGCACAAGAUUUCAGGCAGAGUGAACAUGGACAUAGGCGCGUGCUUGAGGUUACAUCGGGGUGGCCUUAGUU